rnacentral:rRNA from 1 species
CUGGCUCAGGAUGAACGCUGGCGGCGUGCCUAAUACAUGCAAGUCGAACGAGGUAGCAAUACCGAGUGGCGAACGGGUGAGUAACACGUAGGUAACCUGCCCUUAAGCUUGGGAUACCCAGAGGAAACUUGGCUAAUACCGGAUAACAACAGAGAAGGCAUCUUCUUUGCUUGAAAGGCCCCUUCAAGGGUCACUUAAGGAUGGACCUGCGGCGCAUUAGCUAGUUGGUGAGAUAACAGCCCACCAAGGCGAGGAUGCGUAGCCGAACUGAGAGGUUGAUCGGCCACAUUGGAACUGAGACACGGUCCAAACUCCUACGGGAGGCAGCAGUAAGGAGUUUUCGGCAAUGGGGGAAACCCUGACCGAGCAACGCCGCGUGAGCGAUGACGGCCCUAUGGGUUGUUAAAAAGCUCUGUUGUAAGCCAUGAAUGAUAGCUUGAGGAAAUGCAAGCUAUUUGACGACAGCUUACCAGAAAGCCACGGCUAACUACGUGCCAGCAGCUGC